GCACCAUAAAAGUACAAUAUAUUCUCACGCGUACGAUCACACUUUUUUUAUUGCAAAAACACUAUUCAAAGUGAAUUGAUUCCAUAUUUCAACCUUUUCUUCUCUUCAUAUCUAUUUCUUCAUUUCCAUCACCGACGCAAUCCGUCGGAUUUUUCUCCCUCAGUUACCCGUAAUAAUCCCAAACAAAUCUUCAAUCCCACUUAACUCAUAUACAAAUCUAUUUUCCUAAUUAGCAGUUUUUACUUCACGUCUUUUUAAUUUAUUUUGCCUUUGAGAAUUGAAGGAAAUAGAUCCCAAUAACUCACACAAACUACAGCCAUAACAAAUGGAGAACGAGGACAAGAAAUCGGCGGUUUCCAUAUGUAGGAGCGUGGGGCAUGAACAUCGUCAGUUCCGUUGAGGUGUUAGACGACGGUGAUGGAAAGGGUAUGCAAUUUCGGAGAUGCAGUUGAGAUGUUCGACGAAAUGCCUGAGAGAGGCUUGUAAAUGCUAAUAUUCAGUUCUAUUAUUUAUAAUCAUUUAUGUUCCGUUUUGUAAAUGAUAAUAUUCUGUUUAUUAUUUAUCAUGAAGCUAUUAGGCUAUUAGCUAUGUGGAUUUGGUUAUCAUUUCAGGUAUGCACAGUUCUUCAUUAGACCACUGUUGUCGGCCGAUGCAACUAUGAGAGAAAUUAAAGUUGUUUACUUGAAUGCGUUGAAGGCUGAUUUUCUGUUGAUACUGUGAGCGGGAGCGUAUUUUAUUUCUUUGUAUCAAUAUGGGAACAUAUAAAGAUGGCUGAAAAUAUUGAGAGUAACGAAGAGGUUGAAGUUAAGAAGACGAAUGUGGAAGCGAGAAAAGCAAAAAUGAAGAUAAAGUUUUAAUACUUUAAUUGUCUAGUAUAUGAUUGUAAUAAUUUUGUUGUUGGUUUACCAUUAGUUUUUUUUAAUAAUAUACCAAUAAAUUUAAUUUAAAUAAUAUUGUUAGUAAA